rnacentral:rRNA from 1 species
GACGAACGCUGGCGGCGUGCUUAACACAUGCAAGUCGAACGGAAAGGCCCUGCUUGCCGGGUACUCGAGUGGCGAACGGGUGAGUAACACGUGGGUGAACUGCCCUGCACUUCGGGAUAAGCCUGGGGAACGGGGUCUAAUACCGGCAAGGAGCCAUCUUUAGAGUGAUGGUUGGAAAGUUUUUUCGGUGUAGGGUGAGCUCGCGGCCUAUCAGCUUGUUGGUGGGGGAAUGGCCUGCCAAGGGGGGGGCGGGUAGCCGGCCUGGGAGGGUGGACGGCCACCUUGGGACUGAGAGACGGCCCCGGCGCCUACGGUUGGCAGCAGUGGGGAAGAUUGCUCAAGGGGCGCAAGCCUUGUGCAGCGACGCCGCGGGGGGGAAAGCGGCCUUCUGGUUGUAAACUCCUUUCGCUAGGGACGAAGCGUUUUGUGACGGUACCUGGAGAAGAAGCACCGGCUAACUACGUG